rnacentral:rRNA from 1 species
CGAACGCUGGCGGCGUGCUUAACACAUGCAAGUCGAACGGAAAGGCCCUGCUUUUGUGGGGUGCUCGAGUGGCGAACGGGUGAGUAACACGUGAGUAACCUGCCCUUGACUUUGGGAUAACUUCAGGAAACUGGGGCUAAUACCGGAUAGGAGCUCCUGCUGCAUGGUGGGGGUUGGAAAGUUUCGGCGGUUGGGGAUGGACUCGCGGCUUAUCAGCUUGUUGGUGGGGUAGUGGCUUACCAAGGCUUUGACGGGUAGCCGGCCUGAGAGGGUGACCGGCCACAUUGGGACUGAGAUACGGCCCAGACUCCUACGGGAGGCAGCAGUGGGGAAUAUUGCACAAUGGGCGGAAGCCUGAUGCAGCAACGCCGCGUGCGGGAUGACGGCCUUCGGGUUGUAAACCGCUUUCGCCUGUGACGAAGCGUGAGUGACGGUAAUGGGUAAAGAAGCACCGGCUAACUACGUGCCAGCAGCCGCGGUGAUACGUAGGGUGCGAGCGUUGUCCGGAUUUAUUGGGCGUAAAGGGCUCGUAGGUGGUUGAUCGCGUCGGAAGUGUAAUCUUGGGGCUUAACCCUGAGCGUGCUUUCGAUACGGGUUGACUUGAGGAAGGUAGGGGAGAAUGGAAUUCCUGGUGGAGCGGUGGAAUGCGCAGAUAUCAGGAGGAACACCAGUGGCGAAGGCGGUUCUCUGGGCCUUUCCUGACGCUGAGGAGCGAAAGCGUGGGGAGCGAACAGGCUUAGAUACCCUGGUAGUCCACGCUGUAAACGGUGGGUACUAGGUGUGGGGUCCAUUCCACGGGUUCCGUGCCGUAGCUAACGCUUUAAGUACCCCGCCUGGGGAGUACGGCCGCAAGGCUAAAACUCAAAGGAAUUGACGGGGCCCCGCACAAGCGGCGGAGCAUGCGGAUUAAUUCGAUGCAACGCGUAGAACCUUACCUGGGUUUGACAUGGAUCGGGAGUGCUCGGAGAUGGGUGUGCCUCUUUUGGGGUCGGUUCACAGGUGGUGCAUGGCUGUCGUCAGCUCGUGUCGUGAGAUGUUGGGUUAAGUCCCGCAACGAGCGCAACCCUUGUUCACUGUUGCCAGCACGUUAUGGUGGGGACUCAGUGGAGACCGCCGGGGUCAACUCGGAGGAAGGUGGGGAUGACGUCAAGUCAUCAUGCCCCUUAUGUCCAGGGCUUCACGCAUGCUACAAUGGCUGGUACAGAGAGUGGCGAGCCUGUGAGGGUGAGCGAAUCUCGGAAAGCCGGUCUCAGUUCGGAUUGGGGUCUGCAACUCGACCUCAUGAAGUCGGAGUCGCUAGUAAUCGCAGAUCAGCAACGCUGCGGUGAAUACGUUCCCGGGGCUUGUACACACCGCCCGUCAAGUCAUGAAAGUUGGUAACACCCGAAGCCGGUGGCCUAACCGUUGUGGGGGAGCCGUCGAAGGUGGGACUGGUGAUUAGGACUAA